AAUACAAAUCAGCAAAAUGAAGAAAGGAAAGAUAAAAGUAAAUUUGGAGGUAGCUGUGGUUGCCCUCUGAGAUGGGGACACCCUUGCGUGCGUGCGUGCGUGUGUGUGUGUGUGUGUGUGUGUGUGUGUACUGAAAGUUCUAAACCUGCCUACAGCCUGUUUAAUAUGGAGCUCAUUUCUUUCCUGUUAGUGGUGUGAAUAGGACUUUGGGAUGGGUUGACUGCCUUUAUUUCUUAUUGAUUGUAUACUAAUGCAUUUUAUGCGUAGUAGAUAAUUCAUUUACCUAGUUCACUACUAGUUAAUACUAGCUCAUUGCUAAUAAUUUAUCAUCAUAAAUUAUGGUAAUAUUUAGUUAAGAGAAACCUCACAGCUAAACCUUACGGAGGUCAUUUUCACCCAGUUAUAUUUUUCGGUAUUUUCAGGUACAGACAUGAAAUUGCUCAUGAUGGGCAGAGGAUUUACAUCUUGGGAGGAGGGACUUCCUGGACAGCCUAUUCCUUAAACAAGAUCCACGCAUACAACCUUGAAACAAAUGCAUGGGAGGAGAUUGCAACAAAACCUCAUGAAAAAAUAGGUUUUCCUGCAGCCCGAAGAUGUCACAGUUGUGUUCAAAUAAAAAAUGGUAUGGAGUCUAAAUAAAAUUUUGAUUCAUUUCUGUAGUCUUACCUGCUGAGAAUGACUGAUUUCCUGGUUAGCUCCUCUAAAGGGGUGCAUAAUUUUGGACCAC